GUCGGUCUUGGUGGCCGAGUGGUUAAGGCGUUUGACUCGAAAUCAAAUGGGCUCUGCCCGCACAGGUUCGAAUUCUGUCCACGACG